ACACCAUCAUACAUUUUGUCUAUAACCUAUUAAACUUUUUUUGUAGGAUUUUUUUUGCGAGCCAUUAAAUGACUUGAGACUCGACUCGUGACCAAAGACUUGAGACUUGAAUCAGACUCAAGGUUAAAGACUUCAGAAUUGACUCGGACUCCAGGUUAAAGACUUCAGACUUGAAUCAGACUCCAGGUUAAAGACUUCAGACUUGAAUCAGACUCCAGGUUAAAGACUUCAGACUUGAAUCGGACUCCAGGUUAAAGACUUCAGAAUUGACUCGGACUCCAGGUUAAAGACUUCAGACUUGAAUCAGACUCCAGGUUAAAGACUUCAGACUUGAAUCAGACUCCAGGUUAAAGACUUCAGACUUGAAUCAGACUCCAGGUUAAAGACUUCAGACUUGAAUCAGACUCCAGGUUAAAGACUUCAGACUUGAAUCAGACUCCAGGUUAAAGACUUCAGACUUGACUCGGACUCCAACUUAAACACUCGUGAACAUCUCUGCCAAGCCCUGCCCAUGAGGCUGUUUGACCAACACGACAAACAACCAAUCACAGUUUGUUUUGUUCAGCAGCAUGUUUCGGGGCAUGCAAAUGUCACCAAAAUAACAGACCGGUGUGUAAAACUCUCUGACGUAUUUCUACUUUUGUGUCCCAUAUGCAUCAGUCGUUCAGCCAACAGUCCAAGGGCGUGACGUCUGAGACUGAGACUAUAGUCCUUGGUGUGAACAGGUCUUAAGAAUGAUUAUUAAAACUUCAGUUAGAGUUAACAUUAUAAUUAUUGUCCUUAAUGUCAAUGGGUCUUAAUGGCUC